GUUGUUCAUAACGGAAGUGGAGUAUUGACUUCAGCAUUCUGGCAGCAGCUGAACUCCUCAGAAAUCCAAUGUGGAAGAUUCUGUAGGGAGCCAGCAGCGUUAUGAGAUCGCAAGUAACAGGAGUGAAGCCAAAGAAGGGAUCUUUAAUUGGAAUACUCUAGGACAGAAAUCUCCCUCUGAAAUCCUGUGGUUCUCCUGCAAAAAUAGGGAAGACCAGACUGGAUAUUCCUGAUAUUUGUAAGGUUGGCCGACCCGGUGUAGGGGAUUGAGCAAACUCAUGAGCAUGGCACCAUGGGUGGAAGCACUCACAUUCACUUGUGUACAAGGCUGGAGAAUCCUCAAGGACAACAAAA